GGGACAGAGUGCUGCUCAUAUAUUGUCAAUAACUCUGACGCAAUAACACAUGAUAUUUCAAAGAUAAACGAUACCAGGAAGAAGCUCCAGAAUCCACCGGAUAGUGGACCUUUUGGGUGGUUGGGUAAUUUAGGGUUUAAAGUAAUGCAAUGGGUAGUAGUGGGUGUUGUUUUAUGUAUAAUAUUGUAUUUUUUUGUAAAUUGUAUUAUAUGUGUGGGAAAGCAAGCUAUGAAGAAAGUAAGACCUAUCCGAGAAAUAUAUGAGUUAUAGUUAUAACUCAUGUAAUGGGAUCAACAGGUGGAUUGUAUUGGUUAUGGGCAAUGAUAAAUGUUCUAUUAUUGUGUUCCCAUUCAUGUGCAAUAACUUAUGAUACCUA